rnacentral:rRNA from 1 species
UACGUAGGGGGCAAGCGUUGUCCGGAUUUAUUGGGCGUAAAGAGCGUGUAGGCGGUUAGGUAGGUCCGUUGUGAAAACUCGAGGCUCAACCUCGAGACGCCGAUGGAAACCAUCUGACUAGAGUCCGGAAGAGGAGAGUGGAAUUCCCGGUGUAGCGGUGAAAUGCGCAGAUAUCGGGAAGAACACCCGUGGCGAAGGCGGCUCUCUGGAACGCAACUGACGCUGAGACGCGAAAGCGUGGGGAGCAAACAGG